rnacentral:rRNA from 1 species
UACGGAGGGUGCAAGCGUUGUCCGGAAUCACUGGGCGUAAAGGGCGCGUAGGCGGCUCAUGAAGGCUGUGGUGAAAGUCCGGGGCUCAACUCCGGAUCUGCGGUGGGUACGGGCAGACUAGAGUGAUGUAGGGGAGACUGGAAUUCCUGGUGUAGCGGUGAAAUGCGCAGAUAUCAGGAGGAACACCGAUGGCGAAGGCAGGUCUCUGGGCAUUAACUGACGCUGAGGAGCGAAAGCAUGGGGAGCGAACAGG